GUAUUCUGUAACCCAUUCAUAGUCAUUUUUGCUCAUCCUCAAAUACUAUGACCAAAUCUCUAUGACCACUGGCUGUCAAGGGGGGGGGGAGUCAACCCACUGACAGCUCUCCGAAACUGCUCAUUGUAAAGUAUGCUUGCCUCUUCUGUCCUCUAAUAAAAUUCAGAUUCAAAAAGUGAUAACAUUUUCUUCAGGAUGUUGCUUAGAAAGCAAUGUCUGUAUGGCAUCAGUAACUCUAUAUUUUGAGAUAGGAGUCUCUCUCUGCUUGAAGACAUACCUAUUUUCUCUAAUUGCCAAAGGCAAAGGGGAGGUGCACUAAAGAAUAAAGAAGGUUAUUGUGACAGAUGAAACAUAAUUCACACUGAAUACUUUUUUCAUCCCGACUAAAGUAGAAGAGGAUUACUCUACGCAGAUUUUAAGAAGAGUGCCUAUGUUCUUACUCCAAUAAGAAGGCCACAAGCUGGAAAGCCACUGCAAAUGUAAACAGGAUUUUGCUGAAGAUUUUGGAUUCUUAUGAACUGGCAGAAAUAUUCACUGGAAGAAAAUCUGAAGACAAAUAGGUCAUAUAAAUUAAUAUCUACUGAAAUUUUCAGAAUGGAUAAUGAUGAAUGUAUUGUAUUUUUUUCUUUUUGUCAGAAUUUUAAUGACAUGAGAUGCUGUUCUGUAAAACAGAUCGAUGGCCAUGCCUCUCCCUCCCUCCCUCUUCCGCUCUGAUUGGCUGAGAGGCAUGCCAACAUGGCUUCUCCUCUCAGAGGGGCUACAGCUUCAUCCGAAGACAUCAGAAACAAACGAAAAAAGAAUAACUCAAGAAAACAAAUCUGUAACACUUUCAACAUAUACAAACAGCUCCUACUAUGUCUAAGAAAUGUUCUACAACUCCUAAACGUGUGAAAUUGCUAUCAAGUGAUUAUCAUCUUUAUUGGCAAUUAGCUACCAAUGCAAAGAAGAAAUAUUAUGGUUGAUGGUGAUGGAAUUCGAAGAGGAAGAAAAAACCCUCGUGAUGAGGGUUCACUGGAGGAGUUGCGCAGGAAGCGACUUAGAGAGCUAUAUGGGGGAUCUUCUGAGGAAGAUUCAGAUGGGGAGAUGGAUGCUGAGGAACAGGUGGUGGCUGGGGAAGCGGGCACUGAAUGGGCACAGCCACCGGAGAUGUCUGGGGAUCUGGGGCUUAUGGAUACUUCUGAACCUGGGGUUUCUGCAGGAGCUGAUCCCAAUUGGGAUGCUUGGAGAAGGGAGGAUGGUUCUUUAAGUGUUCAUGGGGCUAAGUGUGGGCAGGAUGAUUGGGACUCCGACGAAUUGCUAGGUACUCCAGAUCCACGAGCUCUAGCUGUGUGGAGUUCAGACUCUGAGUAGAUUUGGAACACCUGGUGUUUGGGUGUGAGUGUUUGGUCACCCAGGAGGAAGGGGAAUAAAAUGGGAAUGUUUGGCCACUGCACUUUGCGUGUGGCAAGGUGUUGCUGAGGUGCCAUUGGGAUCUCUGUGUUUCCAUGAAGACUGGACUUGGACUAUGAUUUGAAUCUGCUGAUAUCAUCUAGCUUGGCUCUCGCUGUGUCUUAUCGUGGACCUGUUGUGGAUGACUGCACCCUCUUCGGAAUUUGGAUUGAAUUUGACCUGGCUUCUGUCUAUGCCCUCUGACUGACGGCUACUCCCGGCUUCUGACUAUUGGUUUGUCUUUCGGAAUUUCUGUUGCCUCCUGACCUGACCUUGGAUUCUUCUGACGACGGCUAUUCAUCAUCCCUUUGAGGCUCUUGGCUUAUCUGCACCGUGGAAGCAGUUUUACUGCUUUUCUAGUUUGUUUAUUUUCCAGCAAUUAACUCUAUUUGUUUUCCAAAGCUGAAUUGAAGCGUUAUUUAGUUUUUUUAUUGAAUGCCAGCAUGGGAAAUUAGCGUGGCUCGUUUUUGAGUUAUUAUUGUCCAAUCUACUCUCGAAACACUGAAAAGUGAAGUGUUUCAAGGAUAUUUCCUGUGUUUAUGUUAUUUUUUGGCUUAUCUUCGGAAUAAACUUUGUUUUAUAUGUUAA